GACAAGGUGAUCCUCGACCUGGGGCGUGUCCGCACGUUCUCUUCUUCCUCCCGACGCCGACGACUUCCCCGAGCUCGUCUCCGAACCAUGGCGCUGCAACCAGUCAGUCAGGAGUUCUAACCCUGUAGCCUUUUGCAUCCCAUCGACUCUCCAGCUCAGCAUUUGCUUCUUCCCGGAUAGGAUCACGAAGUGGU